rnacentral:rRNA from 2 species
CCGGCACAAGCGGUGGAGCAUGUGGUUUAAUUCGAUGCAACGCGAAGAACCUUACCUGGGCUUGACAUCCCGGGAAUCCCUUGGAAACAAGGGAGUGCCCUUCGGGGAACCUGGAGACAGGUGCUGCAUGGCUGUCGUCAGCUCGUGUCGUGAGAUGUAGGGUUAAGUCCCGCAACGAGCGCAACCCUUGUCUUUAGUUGCCAUCAUUAAGUUGGGCACUCUAAAGAGACUGCCGAUGACAAAUCGGAGGAAGGUGGGGAUGACGUCAAAUCAUCAUGCCCUUUAUGUCCUGGGCUACACACGUGCUACAAUGGUCGGUACAACGAGAAGCAAGCCAGCGAUGGCAAGCAAAUCUCUAAAAGCCGAUCCCAGUUCGGAUUGCAGGCUGCAACUCGCCUGCAUGAAGUCGGAGUUGCUAGUAAUCGCGGAUCAGAAUGCCGCGGUGAAUGCGUUCCCGGGUCUU